GUAGGAUUAGCUAGUUGGUGUGGUAAAGGCGCACCAAGGCGACGAUCCUUAGCUGGUCUGAGAGGAUGAUCAGCCACACUGGGACUGAGACACGGCCCAGACUCCUACGGGAGGCAGCAGUGGGGAAUAUUGGACAAUGGGCGAAAGCCUGAUCCAGCAAUGCCGCGUGAGUGAUGAAGGCCUUAGGGUUGUAAAGCUCUUUUACCCGGGAUGAUAAUGACAGUACCGGGAGAAUAAGCUCCGGCUAACUCCGUGCCAGCAGCCGCGGUAAUACGGAGGGAGCUAGCGUUAUUCGGAAUUACUGGGCGUAAAGCGCACGUAGGCGGCUUUGUAAGUUAGAGGUGAAAGCCUGGAGCUCAACUCCAGAAUUGCCUUUAAGACUGCAUCGCUUGAAUCCAGGAGAGGUGAGUGGAAUUCCGAGUGUAGAGGUGAAAUUCGUAGAUAUUCG
rnacentral:rRNA from 1 species